AGCUGCCGUAAAUGAAGCUGAGGAGGAGCAGCCUGUAAGGGAAAAUAGCGAAAUAGCCACAAGCUCUCCGUGGUGUUGAGAGACUGUAAACGGAGAUAUAAUUCACACUGAAGAUGCUUGCGGCUUUUGAGUUAUGUGAACACAGACACCAGGACAUCUAGGUUCAAAUUGAGGUGAUUUUCCUCAAGAUGUUUUGACCAUUUCAAGAGAAGAGGAUGAUUUCAACAUUUGCUGCAUUUCGAAUUGUAUAAAGCAGUGUUUCAGAGUUGUCUGAACAACUAUUUCGUGAAAUUCUCCAGACCUACUAGGGCAUAUUUUUCUUGCCAGAAAAUAACUGAAACAUAUCAGCUGCCAUAAGUGCAGUGAGACAAAGAAGGGAUGGGCAAUGUGAUGCUAAACCUAUAUCUUGGAACAUUUUGAAUGUUCCAAGAUAUAGUCCAUUUUAAAGUUGUGCAAGCAGAGUUUCAUAACGGUUCAAUCCCACUGCAGAGUGGAUACUGCGUAUAUCUCUGGUUAUUUGCCUUACUUUGAAACAGCAACUGCAGUCCAACCAUGUGACUUUGUUUUGCAUUAAAUGUUUGCAGCCUCAUAUUGCAUUACAUGAAAUGCGUGUUUUCGUCAUUGACUUAAAGACAUUUUUUAAGUUUCAAUGGGUCUUUCCAUCGAAGCGACUCGUCGGGCGUGGGUGUGUGUCUUUACACAACCAAUCCAGCUGUGUUUGUCGAGCGGGAACACUUCCUUAGACAUUUGUUGUGACCGGUUUACUCAUUACAUGGAAGUGUGUGAUCACUGGUUAAGAUGCAAAGAGUCAUGCAUUUUAUGUAAUGUCAUAGUUAAAUCUUAAAUUUUAUGUAAUGUCAUAGUUAAAUCUCUAUACAAAUCUCUAUACAAACAACUGACUAACAAAUGAUGUGGCUAAUUUUGUCAUGGCGCAGUAUGUACAGGGGUGCCAUAUAUACUGGCCAUAUCUCUUGCCUCUUGGAUGAAGUUAUUAAAAUGUAAAUUACUUUAUUUUUUUUUGCAACUUCUAACCUUUCAUCUCUAACUUUAGAAAGCCAGAGUGCAUCUUUAAUGCUUUCAUUUUCACUAGAAGAUUUAAGUCUGGGCAACAUCUGCUGGGAAUAAAUUUAGUCCAAACAGAUACUCAUGGAAUUUGUCAGCGUUUUUAAGUAUUUAGAUGUUAACAUGAUUUGCCACCUCUUGACACCGUAAGAUGCUAUGAAAAUGGGAUUUUUGUCGAUAGUUGAGGAGGAACGGUUCAUAUCUGUGGUACUACUUGAAAUUCUGUCUGUCAAACAAAAGAGCCUUGCCAAACCACAAUGAGUGAAGUGAAAUUGUGAGCUAGUUAUACAAGGCUUUCAAAUCCUAGCACAAGGGGAAAAAACACAGAAGUUCAUUGCAUCACCAAAUUUGCUUGGUGGCUUUGCAUUUGUUGUUGAUAUACUCAGCGUCAAUCAUACACUGAUGUCCCACUGCUGUUCCUUGGGCAAGCUCUCACAUACAUAAUGGUCCAGUGCAGAGUUACCUCAAACAUUUCCUGCUGUGCAAAUGAGCACCAGAGAAAUGCAGGAUGCAUUUAAUUUGUUGUCGUUUUAACACAAAGUUUCGGAAGAAUUUGCGAUUUAACCAGCACAUUUAUUUCAAAUUUGAAUAUUUGCUACAUUUCAAAAUGAAUGUGCCACAGCAUUUCCUGUCUGAACUUUGAUGUGAUUUUGAUCUUCAAAACAUUUGAUCCUUCCAAGGAAUUUGAUCUCUUACCUCA